rnacentral:rRNA from 1 species
UACGGAGGGUGCAAACGUUGCUCGGAAUCAUUGGGCGUAAAGCGUACGUAGGCGGCCCACCAAGUCUGAUGUGAAAGCCCGGGGCUCAACCUCGGAAUGCCAUUGGAAACUGGUGGACUUGAGAAUAGGAGGGGUAAGUGGUAUUUCUGGUGUAGGGGUGAAAUCCGUAGAGAUCAGAAGGAACACCGGUGGCGAAGGCGACUUACUGGACUAUUUCUGACGCUGAUGUACGAAAGCAUGGGGAGCAAACAGG